rnacentral:rRNA from 1 species
AUACGUAGGUGACAAGCGUUAUCCGGAUUUACUGGGCGUAAAGGGCGUGUAGGCGGUCUUGCAAGUCAGAAGUGAAAUUCCUGAGCUCAACUCGGGCGCUGCUUCUGAAACUGCAGGACUUGAGUGCUGGAGGGGAUAGCGGAAUUCCUAGUGUAGCGGUGAAAUGCGUAGAUAUUAGGAGGAACACCAGUGGCGAAGGCGGCCUGCUGGACGACAACUGACGCUGAGGCGCGAAAGCGUGGGGAGCAAACAGGAUUAGAUACCCUGGUAGUCCACGCUGUAAACGAUGAAUACUAGGUGUGGGGGGACUGACCCCCUCCGUGCCGCAGUUAACACAAUAAGUAUUCCACCUGGGGAGUACGAUCGCAAGAUUGAAACUCAAAUGAAUUGGCGGGG